GUUGACCUCGGAUCAGGUAGGGAUACCCGCUGAACUUAAGCAUAUCAAUAAGCGGAGGAAAAGAAACCAACAGGGAUUGCUCUAGUAACGGCGAGUGAAGCAGCAAUAGCUCAAAUUUGAAAUCUGGCGUCUUCGACGUCCGAGUUGUAAUUUGUAGAGGAUGCUUCUGA
rnacentral:rRNA from 2 species